rnacentral:rRNA from 1 species
UGGGGAAUUUUGGACAAUGGGCGAAAGCCUGAUCCAGCAAUGCCGCGUGUGUGAAGAAGGCCUUCGGGUUGUAAAGCACUUUUGUCCGGAAAGAAAUCCUUGGCUCUAAUACAGUCGGGGGAUGACGGUACCGGAAGAAUAAGCACCGGCUAACUACGUGCCAGCAGCCGCGGUAAUACGUAGGGUGCAAGCGUUAAUCGGAAUUACUGGGCGUAAAGCGUGCGCAGGCGGUUUGCUAAGACCGAUGUGAAAUCCCCGGGCUCAACCUGGGAACUGCAUUGGUGACUGGCAGGCUAGAGUAUGGCAGAGGGGGGUAGAAUUCCACGUGUAGCAGUGAAAUGCGUAGAGAUGUGGAGGAAUACCGAUGGCGAAGGCAGCCCCCUAGGCCAAUACUGACGCUCAUGCACGAAAGCGUGGGGAGCAAACNGGGUUAGAUACCCUGGUAGUCCACGCCCUAAAACGAUGUCAACUAGUUGUUGGGGAUUCAUUUCCUAGUAACGUAGCUAACGCGUGAAGUUGACCGCCUGGGGAGUACGGUCGCAAGAUUAAAACUCAAAGGAAUUGACGGGGUCAUAGCUGUUUCCU